rnacentral:rRNA from 1 species
AGGGAAAGAGGGAGGUAGGACUAACACAUGCAAGUCGAACGGCAGCACAGUAAGAGCUUGCUCUUACGGGUGGCGAGUGGCGGACGGGUGAGGAAUACAUCGGAAUCUACUUUUUCGUGGGGGAUAACGUAGGGAAACUUACGCUAAUACCGCAUACGACCUACGGGUGAAAGCAGGGGAUCUUCGGACCUUGCGCGAUUGAAUGAGCCGAUGUCGGAUUAGCUAGUUGGCGGGGUAAAGGCCCACCAAGGCGACGAUCCGUAGCUGGUCUGAGAGGAUGAUCAGCCACACUGGAACUGAGACACGGUCCAGACUCCUACGGGAGGCAGCAGUGGGGAAUAUUGGACAAUGGGCGCAAGCCUGAUCCAGCCAUACCGCGUGGGUGAAGAAGGCCUUCGGGUUGUAAAGCCCUUUUGUUGGGAAAGAAAAGCAGCAGGUUAAUACCCCGCUGUUCUGACGGUACCCAAAGAAUUAGCACCGGCUAACUUCGUG